UAGUUUUUACAAAUUCAUGGGUCCAUGUUUUCAUAGAAGCUGUAAAUUUCUCUACGAACUUGUCGAGAGCUGCCUUGAUAGGAUCCGGAUCAACCAACGGAGCUCUCAAUGAAAGCACCAUUGUUACCGAUUUAUAGUCUCGGAUAGACUUUGAUAGAAUUUGCAGAGAGAAAGUUGGAGAAGAAAAUUUUAAUUCAUUGAUAUCUACUUCUUUACAAUGAUAGAGUUAAU
rnacentral:lncRNA from 1 species